GUGCUCACUUUGGCCGCACAUAUACUAAAAUUGGAAUGACACAAAGAAAUUUAGCAUGGCCCCUGAGCAAGAAGAGAAUUCUGUAUAUACAUACAUAUUUUUU
ensembl:snRNA U6 U6 spliceosomal RNA